rnacentral:rRNA from 1 species
GACAGAGGGUGCAAACGUUGUUCGGAAUUACUGGGCGUAAAGCGCACGUAGGCGGAUUGGAAAGUUGGGGGUGAAAUCCCGGGGCUCAACCCCGGAACUGCCUUCAAAACUCCCGAGUCUGGAGGUCGAGAGAGGUGAGUGGAAUUCCGAGUGUAGAGGUGAAAUUCGUAGAUAUUCGGAGGAACACCAGUGGCGAAGGCGGCUCACUGGCUCGAUACUGACGCUGAGGUGCGAAAGCUAGGGGGGCAAACAGG